GGCGUGCUUCAAACAUGCAAGUCGAACGGAGUUAAUUUUGAAGCUUGCUUUUAGAAUUAACUUAGUGGCGGACUGGUGAGUAACGCGUGAGUAAUCUGCCUAUCACAGGGGGGAUAACAGAGGGAAACUUCUGCUAAUACCGCAUAAGACCACAGGAUGGCAUCAUCAAGGGGUCAAAGGUUAGAUCUGGUGAUAGAUGAGCUUGCGUAUCAUUAGCUAGUUGGUGAGGGUAAAGGCCCACCAAGGCGACGAUGAUUAGCCGAUCUGAGAGGAUGACCGGCCACACUGGGACUGAGAUACGGCCCAGACUCCUACGGGAGGCAGCAGUUAGGAAUAUUGGGCAAUGGAGGAAACUCUGACCCAGCAACGCCGCGUGAAGGAAGAAGGUUUUCGGAUCGUAAAGCUCUGUUGUUGGUGAAGAAGGAUAGAGGUAGUAACUGGCCUUUAUUUGACGGUAAUCAACCAGAAAGUCACGGCUAACUACGUGCCAGCAGCCGCGGUAA
rnacentral:rRNA from 1 species